UGGAAUUGCGCAGUGCAUGGAGAUGGCUC
rnacentral:piRNA from 1 species